CCCUGUUGCUUCGGCGGGCCCGCCGCUUGUCGGCCGCCGGGGGGGCGCCUUUGCCCCCCGGGCCCGUGCCCGCCGGAGACCCCAACACGAACACUGUCUGAAAGCGUGCAGUCUGAGUUGAUUGAAUGCAAUCAGUUAAAACUUUCAACAAUGGAUCUCUUGGUUCCGGCAUCGAUGAAGAACGCAGCGAAAUGCGAUAACUAAUGUGAAUUGCAGAAUUCAGUGAAUCAUCGAGUCUUUGAACGCACAUUGCGCCCCCUGGUAUUCCGGGGGGCAUGCCUGUCCGAGCGUCAUUGCUGCCCUCAAGCCCGGCUUGUGUGUUGGGUCGCCGUCCCCCUCUCCGGGGGGACGGGCCCGAAAGGCAGCGGCGGCACCGCGUCCGAUCCUCGAGCGUAUGGGGCUUUGUCACAUGCUCUGUAGGAUUGGCCGGCGCCUGCCGACGUUUUCCAACCAUUUUUUCCAGGUUGACCUCGGAUCAGGUAGGGAUACCCGCUGAACUUAAGCAUAUCAAUAAGCGGAGGAANUNCCCGC
rnacentral:rRNA from 1 species